rnacentral:rRNA from 2 species
AGCAUAUCAAUAAGCGGAGGAAAAGAAACCAACCGGGAUUGCCUCAGUAACGGCGAGUGAAGCGGCAAGAGCUCAAAUUUGAAAUCUGGCCCCUCCGGGGUCCGAGUUGUAAUUUGCAGAGGAUGCUUCGGGUGCGGCCCCCGUCUAAGUGCCCUGGAACGGGCCGUCAUAGAGGGUGAGAAUCCCGUCUGGGACGGGGUGUCCGUGCCCGUGUGAAGCUCCUUCGACGAGUCGAGUUGUUUGGGAAUGCAGCUCUAAAUGGGUGGUAAAUUUCAUCUAAAGCUAAAUACUGGCCGGAGACCGAUAGCGCACAAGUAGAGUGAUCGAAAGAUGAAAAGCACUUUGAAAAGAGAGUUAAACAGCACGUGAAAUUGUUGAAAGGGAAGCGCUUGCGACCAGACUCGCCCGCGGGGUUCAGCCGGCCUUCGGGCCGGUGUACUUCCCCGCGGGCGGGCCAGCGUCGGUUUGGGCGGCCGGUCAAAGGCCUCCGGAAUGUGUCGCCCCCCGGGGCGUCUUAUAGCCGGAGGUGCAAUGCGGCCAGCCCGGACCGAGGAACGCGCUUCGGCACGGACGCUGGCAUAAUGGUCGUAAGCGACC